UGGGGAAUAUUGCGCAAUGGGCGAAAGCCUGACGCAGCAACGCCGCGUGAGUGAUGAAGGCCUUCGGGUCGUAAGGCUCUGUCGGAGGGAACGAAUGCUCUUGAGGUUAAUAGCCUCGGGAGGUGACGGUACCCUCAAAGGAAGCACCGGCUAACUACGUGCCAGCAGCCGCGGUAAUACGUAGGGACCAAGCGUUGUUCGGAUUUACUGGGCGUAAAGGGCGCGUAGGCGGCAUGACAAGUCACUUGUGAAAUCUCUGGGCUUAACCCAGAACGGCCAAGUGAUACUGUCGCGCUAGAGUGCAGAAGGGGCAAUCGGAAUUCUUGGUGUAGCGGUGAAAUGCGUAGAUAUCAAGAGGAACACCUGAGGUGAAGACGGGUUGCUGGGCUGACACUGACGCUGAGGCGCGAAAGCCAGGGGAGCAAACGGGAUUAGAUACCCGUGUAGUCCCUGAGCGGGCUGGCAAGGCGCAU
rnacentral:rRNA from 1 species